CCUACGGGUGGCAGCAGUGGGGAAUUUUGCGCAAUGGGCUAACGCCUGACGCAGCAACGCCGCGUGGAGGAUGAAGGUCCUUGGAUUGUAAACUCCUGUCAGCAGGGAAAUUGUACCUGCAGAGGAAGCCCCGGCUAACUCUGUGCCAGCAGCCGCGGUAAUACAGAGGGGGCAAGCGUUAUUCGGAAUUAUUGGGCGUAAAGGGCGCGUAGGCGGCUUGGCAAGUGGAAGGUGAAAUCCCUCGGCUUAACCGAGGAACUGCCCUCCAAACUGCUUCGCUUGAGACCGGGAGAGGUGAGUGGAAUUCCCAGUGUAGCGGUGAAAUGCGUAGAUAUUGGGAGGAACACCAGUGGCGAAGGCGGCUCACUGGACCGGACUGACGCUGAUGCGCGAAAGCGUGGGGAGCAAACGGGAUUAGAUACCCUUGUAGUC
rnacentral:rRNA from 1 species